rnacentral:ncRNA from 1 species
CAGAAUAGGAACGGCGCGUUAGUAAGCGUUGAGUAACUUGCUUACUUAAGUGCCGCGGGAUGGGAGGUCGCCCGCGGACGAAGGGAAACCGCGACGCCGUGUCCGCAUCCGCUG